CCAGCUUCUCCGUGUUGGACUCGCGUAGCGGCAGCGACACAACGAAGAGCUUCUUUAUUCAAUUUUCUUCAUCUACUUUUCUCGUUCCAUCCUAUCAGACUGCACGCGAAUCCACACCCCUCUAAUCCUUUGCAUUUCUCUUCUCGAUUUGUCGAUCUUGAUCAGUCCGUCCGUCCAUUGAUCGUUCGAGGAGCGUCGUCGUUUGGCGGAUUUGAUUUCGAAAAGUUUUUUUGGUUUCAGUUGGAAGAUCAGUUGGUGAGGGGAUUUAAGGUAAGAUUGUGUUUGGUGAUUGAGGCGAUGUUGACUUUGAAAGUCUGGUUGUGACUAUGGAAGUGGUUGGUACACGCCCACGGAAGCAACAGAUGACGCUUUACAUUGGUCGCGAGGCUUCAAAGCUAUGGAAGAGAAUUUGUGCGGAGAUAACCGCAGAGAUCAACCUUCUUCUGGAGAAUUGGAAAUACCUUCUUGCCGGUUUAGUUUUGCAGUAUGUACAUGGUUUGGCUGCCCAAGGAGUUCAUUAUCUACACCGGCCAGGGCCGGUACUGCAGGAUGUUGGCUUCUUUCUCCUUCCGGAGCUUGGACAAGACAAGGGCUACAUUAGUGAGACACUGUUUACCUGUGUUUUUAUAUCCUUUGUCUUGUGGAGUUUCCAUCCUUUCAUCUUAAAGAGCAAAAGGAUCUACACAGUUCUGAUUUGGUGCAGGGUUCUGGCAUUUUUAGUUGCCUGUCAAAUCCUUCGGAUCAUAACAUUCUACUCAACCCAGCUUCCUGGUCCGAAUUACCAUUGCCGUGAGGGUUCUAAACUUGCCAGGCUGCCUCGCCCAGAAAGUGUUGUUGAAGUACUUCUACUCAAUUUUCAUGGCAUUGGAUAUGGUUGUGGGGAUUUGAUUUUUUCAUCCCACAUGAUCUUCACUCUAGUCUUUGUGCUUACAUACAAUAAAUAUGGUACACAAAGGUGUAUAAAGCAACUUGGUUGGUUGAUUGCUGUGAUUCAGAGCCUGUUGAUUGUGGCAUCCCACAAACAUUACACUGUUGAUGUUGUUGUUGCAUGGUACACUGUCAACCUAGUAGUGUUUUUCAUAGAAAAAAAAUUGGGAGAGCUGCCUGACAGAACGAGUGGAGCUGGAUCCUUUUUGCUACCUGUAAGCACUAAGGAGAAGGAUAGUAGGACCAAAGAAGAGAAUCACAAACUCUUAAAUGGAAACUCCGCAGACCCUUCAGAUUGGAGGCAGAGAACACAGGUGAAUGGAAAAAUUGGGGAAGAUGGUAAUGGAGUCCAUGCUGAUACUGGGAAGAGUGAAGCAUAGACACUUGAGUUACUGCCACUUUCACAACUGUUGCCAGAAUUGGUGCCUUAAUAUGUACAAUAUGAUUUAUGUCUUAAUGUUGGCUCCUAUUUCCAAAACUAUGUCGUUAGUUAAAUUAAUGGUUGAAAAAGAAGACUGAGGACGUGGAGAACAGGACCUGAUUUAGCCGACGGGACUAAGAAAAACAAAACAGAAGAUAUUAUUUAUGAAUAGUUACUUUUGAAUCUGGUCAAA